rnacentral:misc_RNA from 1 species
UGUGGGAGCUGGCUUGCCUGCGAUAGCGGUGUGUCAGCUAAAAGCCAGUCAACUGACAGUCCGCUAUCGCAGGCAAGCCAGCUCCCACA